rnacentral:rRNA from 1 species
GGGGGCAACCCUGGCGGCGAGCGGCGAACGGGUGAGUAAUGUAUCGGAACGUGCCCAGUCGUGGGGGAUAACUAUCCGAAAGGAUAGCUAAUACCGCAUACGACCUGAGGGUGAAAGCGGGGGACCGCAAGGCCUCGCGCGAUUGGAGCGGCCGAUAUCGGAUUAGCUAGUUGGUGAGGUAAAGGCUCACCAAGGCGACGAUCCGUAGCUGGUCUGAGAGGACGACCAGCCACACUGGAACUGAGACACGGUCCAGACUCCUACGGGAGGCAGCAGUGGGGAAUUUUGGACAAUGGGGGCAACCCUGAUCCAGCCAUUCCGCGUGAGUGAAGAAGGCCUUCGGGUUGUAAAGCUCUUUCAGCAGGAACGAAACGGCUCUCUCUAACAUAGGGAGUUAAUGACGGUACCUGAAGAAGAAGCACCGGCUAACUACGUGCCAGCAGCCGCGGUAAUACGUAGGGUGCGAGCGUUAAUCGGAAUUACUGGGCGUAAAGCGUGCGCAGGCGGCGCCAUAAGACAGAUGUGAAAUCCCCGGGCUUAACCUGGGAACUGCGUUUGUGACUGUGGUGCUCGAGUGUGGCAGAGGGGGGUGGAAUUCCACGUGUAGCAGUGAAAUGCGUAGAGAUGUGGAGGAACACCGAUGGCGAAGGCAGCCCCCUGGGUCAACACUGACGCUCAUGCACGAAAGCGUGGGGAGCAAACAGGAUUAGAUACCCUGGUAGUCCACGCCCUAAACGAUGCGAACUAGGUGUUGGGGAAGGAGACUUUCUUAGUACCGCAGCUAACGCGUGAAGUUCGCCGCCUGGGGAGUACGGUCGCAAGAUUAAAACUCAAAGGAAUUGACGGGGACCCGCACAAGCGGUGGAUGAUGUGGAUUAAUUCGAUGCAACGCGAAAAACCUUACCUACCCUUGACAUGCCAGGAAGUCCGCUGAGAAGUGGAUGUGCCCGAAAGGGAACCUGGACACAGGUGCUGCAUGGCUGUCGUCAGCUCGCGUCGUGAGAUGUUGGGUUAAGUCCCGCAACGAGCGCAACCCUUGUCAUUAAUUGCCAUCAUUCAGUUGGGCACUUUAAUGAGACUGCCGGUGACAAACCGGAGGAAGGUGGGGAUGACGUCAAGUCCUCAUGGCCCUUAUGGGUAGGGCUUCACACGUCAUACAAUGGUCGGUACAGAGGGUUGCCAACCCGCGAGGGGGAGCCAAUCCCACAAAGCCGAUCGUAGUCCGGAUCGCAGUCUGCAACUCGACUGCGUGAAGUCGGAAUCGCUAGUAAUCGUGGAUCAGCAUGUCACGGUGAAUACGUUCCCGGC